GUCGUGAGAUGUUGGGUUAAGUCCCGCAACGAGCGCAACCCUCGUCCCUAGUUACCAGCGGGUUAUGCCGGGCACUCUAGGGAGACUGCCGGUGUCAAACCGGAGGAAGGUGGGGAUGACGUCAAGUCAUCAUGGCCCUUACGUCCAGGGCGACACACGUGCUACAAUGGCCGGUACAGAGCGUCGCCAACCCGCGAGGGUGCGCUAAUCGCUAAAAGCCGGUCUAAGUUCGGAUUGCAGUCUGCAACUCGACUGCAUGAAGCCGGAAUCGCUAGUAAUCGCGGAUCAGCCACGCCGCGGUGAAUACGUUCCCGGGCCUUGUACACACCGCCCGUCACGCCAUGGAAGCUGGGGGGACCUGAAGCCGGUGGGCUAACUCGCAAGAGGGGCAGCCGUCAAAGGUCAAUUCAGUGACUGGGGCGAAGUCGUAACAAGGUAGCCGUAGGGGAACCUGCGGCUGGAUCACCUCCUUUCUGGAGCGACGAGUACGCUCGAUGCUUGCAUCGAGACGAAAGUCCUCAGAAGUCGCCCGCACUCCGUCGCUUCUAGCUCGCAUCACUUCUUUUUGGCGGGCCCCGUGGGGUCCGCCCCGCUCUUUGACAAUCGACGAAUGGAUGGUUUUGCCUGUCGGCUGACGGAUGCUCGCUUGCGAGCGUGCGGCGGUGAGCAGGCAGGGUGUGAGGAAUCAACACCGGUCGUGCCGGCCCGAUCGCAGGGCGGGACACGACAUGAGAUUUGAGAUCAAACGCAAUAAGGCACACGGUGGAUGCCUUGGCAUCGAGAGGCGAUGAAGGGCGUGAUAAGCUGCGAUAAGCCUGGGGGAGCUGCACAUGAGCCGUGAUCCCAGGAUGC
rnacentral:sRNA from 1 species